GCUGUGGAACUCCUACGGGAGGCAGCAGCGGGGAAUAUUGGACAAUGGGCGCAAGCCUGAUCCAGCCAUGCCGCGUGUGUGAAGAAGGCCUUCGGGUUGUAAAGCACUUUCAGUAGGGAGGAAGAGUUGAGUGUUAAUAGUACUCAGCUUUGACGUUACCUACAGAAGAAGCACCGGCUAACUCUGUGCCAGCAGCCGCGGUAAUACAGAGGGUGCAAGCGUUAAUCGGAAUUACUGGGCGUAAAGCGUGCGCAGGCGGUUGUGUAAGUCAGAUGUGAAAUCCCCGGGCUCAACCUGGGAAUUGCAUUUGAGACUGCACGGCUAGAGUGUGUCAGAGGGGGGUAGAAUUCCACGUGUAGCAGUGAAAUGCGUAGAUAUGUGGAGGAAUACCGAUGGCGAAGGCAGCCCCCUGGGAUAACACUGACGCUCAUGCACGAAAGCGUGGGGAGCAAACAGGAUUAGAAACCCGGGUAGUCCUACCACGU
rnacentral:rRNA from 1 species